rnacentral:rRNA from 1 species
GCAAAUCUCUUAAAGCCAGUCUCAGUUCGGAUUGUAGGCUGCAACUCGCCUACAUGAAGUCGGAAUCGCUAGUAAUCGCGGAUCAGCACGCCGCGGUGAAUACGUUCCCGGGCCUUGUACACACCGCCCGUCACACCACGAGAGUUUGUAACACCCGAAGUCGGUGAGGUAACCAAUUUGGAGCCAGCCGCCUAAGGUGGGAUAGAUGAUUGGGGUGAAGUCGUAACAAGGUAGC